AGUGAACGCUGGCGGUAGGCCUAACACAUGCAAGUCGAACGGCAGCACAGUAAGAGCUUGCUCUUACGGGUGGCGAGUGGCGGACGGGUGAGGAAUACAUCGGAAUCUACUUUUUCGUGGGGGAUAACGUAGGGAAACUUACGCUAAUACCGCAUACGACCUACGGGUGAAAGCAGGGGAUCUUCGGACCUUGCGCGAUUGAAUGAGCCGAUGUCGGAUUAGCUAGUUGGCGGGGUAAAGGCCCACCAAGGCGACGAUCCGUAGCUGGUCUGAGAGGAUGAUCAGCCACACUGGAACUGAGACACGGUCCAGACUCCUACGGGAGGCAGCAGUGGGGAAUAUUGGACAAAGGGCGCAAGCCUGAUCCAGCCAUACCGCGUGGGUGAAGAAGGCCUUCGGGUUGUAAAGCCCUUUUGUUGGGAAAGAAAAGCAGCAGGAUAAUACCCCGCUGUUCUGACGGUACCCAAAGAAUAAGCACCGGCUAACUUCGUG
rnacentral:rRNA from 1 species